rnacentral:misc_RNA from 1 species
GGUUGCUGUUCGGGCUAAGUGGGAGGGUACUCCUGUUCUAUUGGAAGCUGGUGAAUUACUAUCGAAGGAGUGGAAAGACCUUUAUUGGGAGUUCAUUGAGGUCUGGCUUCGAGCAGAGGAGGAUGAAUCUGACUCUCAUACAGCAAGAGAUUGCCUCAAAAGAAUUAUAAAACAUGGACGGUCACUUUUAAGUGAUCCACUGGCCUCACUAUUUGAGUUCUCUCUUAUUUUGAGAUCAGCAGCCCCAAGAUUGGUGCUUUACCGACAAUUAGCAGAGGAUUCUCUUUCUUCUUU